GUCCCACCGUUGUGAGUUUGU
rnacentral:miRNA from 1 species